rnacentral:lncRNA from 11 species
CAAAUCUGACAGGGCUUUUGGAUGAGAAGCAUUUCCCAGUUUUAUUUCUCAGUAUAUCAAAUGAACAAAACUAAAGAUUCAAAGAGAAGGGAUCUUCUUCUUUUCCCUCACUGUACAGCAAUAUCAUUACAGAGUUGACAAAAGAAUUCAUUUUUACCAAGUUCUGAAUAAAUGUGUGGAUUUCUGGUAAGUUCUCAUAAAAAAUAUAUUUUUCUCUGAACCACAUUUUCUUGUUC